rnacentral:rRNA from 1 species
CAGAGGGUGCAAGUCGUUGUUCGGAAUCACUGGGCGUAAAGCGCGCGCAGGCGGAUGGUUGCGUCCGGAGUGAAAUUUCGCCGCUCAACGGCGAAGCUGCUUUGGAUACGGACCGUCGUAGGGACCGGUAGAGGCUGGUAGAAUUGCAGGUGUAGCGGUGGAAUGCGUAGAGAUCUGCAAGAAUACCCGUGGCGAAGGCGGCCAGCUGGGCCGGAUCCGACGCUGAGGCGCGAAAGCGGUGGGGAGCAAACAGGAUUAGACUACCCUGGUAGUCCACGCCGUAAACGAGUGGGCACUAGGUGCCGGGGGGAGCGACCCCCCUCGGUGCCGCAGCUAACGCGAUAAGUGCCCCGCCUGGGGAGUACGGCCGCAAGGCUG